UACGUAGGGUGCAAGCGUUAAUCGGAAUUACUGGGCGUAAAGCGUGCGCAGGCGGUUUUGUAAGUCUGAUGUGAAAUCCCCGGGCUCAACCUGGGAAUUGCAUUGGAGACUGCAAGGCUAGAAUCUGGCAGAGGGGGGUAGAAUUCCACGUGUAGCAGUGAAAUGCGUAGAGAUGUGGAGGAACACCGAUGGCGAAGGCAGCCCCCUGGGUCAAGAUUGACGCUCAUGCACGAAAGCGUGGGGAGUAAACAGG
rnacentral:rRNA from 1 species